rnacentral:rRNA from 1 species
ACGGGGUAGGAACGCGUAGGUUACGUACCCUCAGGUCGGGGAUAGCCACGGGAAACUGUGGGUAAUACCCGAUAAUAUCGAGAGAUCAAAGGUGUGAUUCCACCUGGGGAGCGGCCUGCGUAGUAUUAGCUUGUUGGUGAGGUAACGGCUCACCAAGGCGAAGAUGCUUAGGGGGUGUGAGAGCAUGGCCCCCACCACUGGGACUGAGAUACUGCCCAGACACCUACGGGUGGCUGCAGUCGAGAAUCUUCGGCAAUGGGCGCAAGCCUGACCGAGCGACGCCGCGUGUGGGAUGAAGGCCCUUGGGUUGUAAACCACUGUCAGAGGGGAUGAAAUGCCAGAGAGCUAUCUCUUUGGUUUGACAUAGCCUCAGAGGAAGCACGGGCUAAGUUCGUGCCAGCAGCCGCGGUAAUACGAACUGUGCAAACGUUAUUCGGAAUCACUGGGCUUAAAGGGUGCGUAGGCGGCUUGUUAAGUAGGGUGUGAAAUCCCAAGGCUCAACCUUGGAAUUGCGCCCUAAACUGGCGAGCUGGAGUGAGAUAGGGGUGUGUGGAACUUCCGGUGGAGCGGUGAAAUGUGUUGA